ACAAAUUUCCGCGUAACAUUUGAAAUCCUUAAACCAACAUUUGGGUGAAUUUAUUAAAAUAAAUUUUAAUUUUAACCAAUUGUUUUUACCUUUCAAUUAUUUUAAUCAUUAUAGAUAUAAUACUUGGUGUUAUGAGAUAAAUAUCCAACGAUUACUCUAUUUUAUGUUUAUUUUUAAUCCUGUUUUAUCAUCAACCUAAACCAGAUGAUUCCGUGCUUCUGAUUCUAUAGGCAUUACAUAUUUGCUAAUCCUGGUUCUAAUUACCACAUUCAAUCUGUAUUUGUUGAUUGGAAACUAUAAAUAUACUCUUGUUUAUUUAGAUGAUUUAAUAAUCAGUAACAAAUUAUUUUACUCCACUGAGUUAAUUGGUACUCCUGAAAAUGUGAUAUCUUAACGAUUAUAAUGGUAAAGAUCUAUAGUGUACAUUGAUCUGUUGCCAUUAAAUGUUGGUAUUCAUUCAACCCAGUGUUUGGUUUAUGGACUAUUGAUUCAUUUUAACCAGAAUCUGGAUCGGCAAUCAAACAAACUGGUGGAACCCGAAUUUUUACCAGGUGUCAGCUGUGAUAAUUCAAAUCUAAUUUAUGAUUGGGUCAAAGAUUACCUACUCUAUGGAUGCAUCCGUCCAAGCCUCAUGGGGCUCAUAAUUGGACGUUGUUACAAGGGACAACUUUAUUACAGAUCACCGAGCAAUCCAGAAAGCUGAGGAACACUAUUUUGAAAGCAAUAUUUGCCAAAACACAAAUGUGUCGAUAAACAAUGAGCUAAAUGAGCGUUAACCAGAUUACAAGACUAAUAUUGAUUUAAGCCUUUUACAAACCUGAUAACUUGGCAUGGAUAUAGACAUAUUUAUAAGCAGUUAUGUGUAAGGAUCAAAAUGUACAAAAUAUGAUUAAAUGAAUGUGAAACUCAUUAAUUAUCUUUAUUGGAACUGGUUGAAGCUGAUAUCAAGUAUUCAGCCGUCAUAAUUUGCAAGUUAAAUAUCAUGUCAAGUUGAUACCUUUUGAUUAUCUAACGGAGCUGCAAUGAGUCUAAAUUGUAAAUCUAAGUGUUAAAUUUAACUUGUUAACAUCCAUAUUGAUCAAGAAAUUAAUUAAAUGGAUACAACAUAAUAAACGUCUCAGUAUUUAAUUUGUA